GUGGGGAAUCUUAGACAAUGGGCGCAAGCCUGAUCUAGCCAUGCCGCGUGAGCGAUGAAGGCCUUAGGGUUGUAAAGCUCUUUCAGUGGGGAAGAUAAUGACUGUACCCACAGAAGAAGCCCCGGCUAACUCUGUGCCAGCAGUCGCGGUAAUACGGAGGGGGCUAGCGUUGUUCGGAAUUACUGGGCGUAAAGCGCACGUAGGCGGACUGGAAAGUCAGGGGUGAAAUCCCGGGGCUCAACCCCGGAACUGCCUUUGAAACUCCCAGUCUUGAGGUCGAGAGAGGUGAGUGGAAUUCCGAGUGUAGAGGUGAAAUUCGUAGAUAUUCGGAGGAACACCAGUGGCGAAGGCGGCUCACUGGCUCGAUACUGACGCUGAGGUGCGAAAGCGUGGGGAGCAAACAGGAUUAGAAACCCCGGUAGUCC
rnacentral:rRNA from 1 species